CCGAGUGUUGCGCGGUAGCGAAAUAGUGCGUUACAAAAUGGAUGCCCGCCGAAUCUCUGCUCUUCAAUUUUAAUAAUUUCGGUCUUCAAAUAAUCAUAAGACGUCAACUGUCCAACACACCUCAUGCCGGUAACACCCCCAUGGUGGAUCCCCAUAAACCCUAGCAAACGCGUCAAGAUCCCACAAAAGUCUUCCGGCGGUAUCCUGAGGCUGUGCUCGCCGCAGGGGUUGCGUGUCUUUUUUCGAGUGUGCCCAUACAGGGGAUGUUGAGAAGCUCGAAGGAUACGACAAUAGAGACGAUCUGAUAAACCGACUUGCUUGAUGUCGCCCGAGGGUGACCGGCAAUCAGACGUGUUACUUCCGGUCUUAAAAUUGAUGUCAAUAUGCGGCGAGUUUGUAUAAGAUUGAUAAAUACGUAUGAUU